rnacentral:rRNA from 1 species
GACGAGGGGUCCAAGCGUUGUUCGGAAUCAUUGGGCGUAAAGCGGGUGUAGGCGGCUCUAUAAGUCAGGAGUGAAAGCCCCGUAGCUUAACUUGGGAAGUGCUUUUGAUACUGCAGAGCUUGAAUGUGGGAGAGGGUAGUGGAAUUCCAAGUGUAGUGGUAGAAAUACGUAGAUAUUUGGAGGAACACCGGUGGCGAAGGCGGCUACCUGGCCCAACAUUGACGCUGAGACCCGAAAGCAUGGGGAUCAAACAGG